rnacentral:rRNA from 1 species
UACGUAGGCAGCGAGCGUUGUUCGGAAUUACUGGGCGUAAAGCGCUUGUAGGCGGUCCACCAAGUUUGGGGUGACAGUUGCCGACUUAAUCGGCAAAGUGCCUCAAAGACUGGCGGACUUGAGGGCCACAGAGGGACAUGGAACUCCAGGUGUAGUGGUGAAAUGCGUAGAUAUCUGGAAGAACACCAAAGGCGAAGGCAGUGUCCUGGGUGGUCGCUGACGCUGAGAGGCGAAAGCCAGGGGAGCGAACGGG